rnacentral:rRNA from 1 species
UACGGGGGGGGCAAGCGUUGUUCGGAAUUACUGGGCGUAAAGGGCUCGUAGGCGGCCAACUAAGUCAGACGUGAAAUCCCUCGGCUUAACCGGGGAACUGCGUCUGAUACUGGAUGGCUUGAGGUUGGGAGAGGGAUGCGGAAUUCCAGGUGUAGCGGUGAAAUGCGUAGAUAUCGAGAGGAACACCUGAGGUGAAGACGGGUUGCUGGGCCGACACUGACGCUGACAGCGCGAAAGCCAGGGGAGCAAACGGG